rnacentral:lncRNA from 1 species
UUCAGGUGGAUCACAUUACUGCUCACUCAAGAAUUUGACUUGCAGUGCAUCUUAAGAAUUUGGGAUUCACUUCUGAGUAAUCCUUCUGGUGUUCAGGUCUCUCUCUCUCUCUCACACACACACACACACACACACCAAGAUUGACCAGACUUGAAGUAUCUGACGCUGUUGCUCAGCUAUCUUCAGGUGAUCCAGAUGCUUGAUGAUUAGUGGGAAACAAAACAUUUUUUUUGCAGGAUAUGCUUUUGCGGAUCUGUUGUGCAAUGUUGUUAUGUGUGAAAAGCAGGCUAUUAAGUGGGGAUUUUGCAGCUAACUUGAGGCUUUUGCAGCAUUAUCCUGAUAUCAACAUAGAAUACCUUCUUCAGUUAGCUCGGGAUCUGAGUCCUGACACUUAAUCCUGUCCCUUAUCGCUGUAAAUUAUCUCCAUCCUAUGUCAUUUCUAUGCAAAUUGUCCGUCUCUGCUUCUCUCUUAACAAACUUGGCAAUGACAGACAAGACUUGAGGAAUUGCUCUUGAGUUUCUGAAAAGCAAUCUUCCUUACCUUUGCAUCAUUUAUUUGGCCAGCACAAAUUGCCAUUCAAACAUUUCCUUAUCUAAUUUUUAUGCUGGCCAAAGAUUUGAAGAACAAAGGAUCCUUUGUUGUCAUGUUCACUGCACUGUGCAAACUGUCCUUUUUUUUUUUUUCUUUUUGGUUAAAUGGAAGACAAGUAGACUAUUUGUUUCAUGUGGAGAUGUGUUGCAUGAUUUUUUUCUAAUUUAUUUUUUUAAAAAUUCAUUAAUCUGUAUUUGAGACCCGAAUUCGUCGUAGUUUUAAGGUUGACUCUAAUACCAUUGAGGUAAAACUCAUUAGUUACUGUGUUCAUAUGGCUUCCAAUGUCGUAUUCUCCAUCAAAGUAAAAGAUCCCAUUGGAGCAGAAGUGAUGGGAAGAGCUUAAUUACCUGCCUGCUUCCCAACUUUUAAAUGGAAAAGAAGUGGAUACACGGCUUAGGAUCUUGAAUAAGAACCAUAAACCUCUACGUAAAGGUUCAAAGAUUCAUGUCAAAGCACAGUAAAGGAAGCAGCUGGUCUAAAGGAAUUGCAGGUCCUAAAUUUCCAGGCAUACUUUACACAUUCUUUCCCCAAUGAAGAGGUUGCAGAGUUGCCUUUAUCAAGAUACAUUACCACAAAUUUGGCCUACCAGCCAUAUCACUUGGGCACCAAGCAGCCAGCCAGGGGUCAAAUUCAUGGCUUCAGUAUGUCACUGUGGUACGAGCACAUGGGCAUGCUUGACGAGUCAUUCUAAGAACCUGAGUCCCUGGAAUGUGUCCAGAGGAUGAACCACAUUGCUAGUAAGUACUGGGACCUCUACUCCUGUGAGAAUUUUGAAGAUGACUUGCCAGGCUAUUUGCUUACUUAUCCCAUUGGAGUAGAGCUUCCUGAAACAUAUUUUUUUCCAGAUACACAGGCGCCUCAACCUGCCGUCUGUUAGGUAGAUAUCAGGGGUGAGGUUAUUUUCAAAUUAUUUAGUAAAUGUAUUUCGUUUUAUAAGAUAAUAAAUGCAUGAAGAUUUCAUAAUUUUAAAUAGUUAUAUUUUUAAAUAUUUUGAAAUACAUAAAAUAUAUAUAAACUAUUUAAUAUUGUAAAAAGUUUUAAUUUAUCGUUUUCAUAAAAUCAAUAGUUAUUAUUUAAAAUUAUUUAGUAAAUAUAUUUCAUUUUAUAAAAAAUAAAUAAUUAGUGAAAAAAUAGCAGUAAGUAUUCAAUUGUAGAUAAAAAUAUCAUAACUAUUUUUUUAUAUAAAACAUAAAUUGCAGUUUUUUAUAAUUUAUUCUAAUUUCUAACAGUAAAAGAAUUCCAAAGAGUGCACGCAUGCACUACUUCAGUUUCCACAUUUCACCUAACUCGGACUUCAUCGAAUUCUAGAAUAAUUUUUUGUUGCUGUUAUUUAUUUAUUUAAUAUAAAUUUUUUCUUUCAGUUAUAUCAAAACUAAUAAAUAUUUUUUACCAUAUUCAAAAUUACUGGUCCGAUUAAGAAAUAAACGUUUCUUUUUAUUUCUAAUGUUUAAUGGUUUAAUAUUAUACUCAAUCAAGUGACAUGUGUAUUUAAAUAAAUUUAAAAAAUUUUAGAUUUUACUUUCAAUUCUUAAUUUAUAUUUUAAAAAAAUAGUUUAAUAUUUUUUAAAAUAUUUUAUAUUUAAAAUUCAUUGAUCCAAUUUAAUCCUGAGAUCAAAUAAAGAGUUUAAAAUAUAUUUUAAUAAGUUUAGUUUGAUUUUAUUCUCUCUUUCUUCUAUUUUUUUUUUAUUCUCUAUCUGUUUGUAUUUGUAUUCUUAUACAUGAGACAGGUCUAAUUAUUAAAUUUUAAUAAAAAUGAUACUUAACCUUUCUAGUGUAGAUUCGGUCUAAGUUGGAACAUUCAGAACUGUUUUUUUUUUUUUUUUUUUGAAAUAGGGAGUUGGGGGAGUCGAAUCUUAGACCUUUUCAAGACUACAGGAUGCACUUUUCAUCAGGUUAAGUCUUAGAGUGCGAACAUUCAGAACUGUUAUCAUCACAAUUAAUAAAUAUAUAUAUAUAUAUUUUAAUGUGUAAAGUUCAAUGGUUUAAUUUUUAUAUUUUGACCAUCAAACUAAAAAUAAUUUUCCAUCGAUUAUACAUUAAUUUUUUAAAAAAUUAUCAAAUAAAGACAAAUUACUAUGUUUUUUCUUAAAUUAUAUUAAAAUUAUCACAUAAUAUUAUUUGAUUUUCUAAAAGUUAUUAGUUUAGUUCCUAUUUUUUACUUAUCAAAUUGAAAAUUAUAUAUUUUUUGAUAAUACGAAUGGAAAGAUUUUUAAUUUAUCGAAAUUAAAAUAUUUAAAUUAAAUUAUUAAAUUUAAAAAAUAAAUAUUUCCAAUUUUUUGAAUUUAUUCUCCUUUCUUUUUUGAAAGGCUGGAUUUUGUUUCUCUGACACUCUCCCUUACUUUUUAGUGUGUGAGAUUCGUUGAUUUUGAUUACUCAACUAUGGGUCUAUGCUCUCUAUUCAAAGUGGAUAUUUUGUUUAAGUCUUGCGUGUUUAAUUUCCUUUUUUUCUUCUUUCAUAUCUAAACUUAAUAUGACAAUAACAUCUUCUAAAUAUUUGAAGAUGACAAAAGGAAACUUCUAAAGUUAUGGAGAUAAUGUACUUUUUGGUAAGGAUUUAAUAGGACAGCUCCCCAGUCUUUGCCACUAUGCCAAUGAUCUGUCUAUUCAAAGGCUAAAAGAGGUUAAGGCGCUGCAAGCUCUACCUUGUUGCCUCCUGAAGCCAUACUUUCUUAAGUUUAAAGCCUAAAACUUUGUAUAUCAUUAACUAUUUCUUUGUCUUUGUGUAUCAUUAACUAUUUCUUUGUUAUUUUUUUGAGUUUUGGUUUUAGAUAUACAACUUAUAAAAAGCACCUUGCUAGUGGUCUUGUAAUGUACUUUGCAUUUUUUUUUUUUUUUAAAAAAAAAACCCUAUCAAUUUGUUUCAAUUUUUAACUGAUAUGAUCAACAACUUUUUUGACUAGGGAUGAUGGAAUUUGCUAUUGAGUUGAGAAAUGUAUGGCUAGAGAUUUUCAAUGCCAAAAUGAUGGAGAUUGAAGAGGCACUCUAAAUAAAAGAAAGUACUUUGAAAAAUAGUAGUCAAGUAUCUCACCAUCCAUACCCUUUUCCAAUGGUAGUGAUUGCUUUUUUUUUUUUUUUGGGCUUGCUAGUAUUGCCAUAAAUAAUGGGAUGUUGUCUCUUUCAAUCAUAAACUGAGAUUCAAGCAACCCUUUUCUUUUCACAACUUGUUCCUUCUUCCCUGCUGCUCUGAUCAUACUUUCAAUUAUUUCCUGCAACUUCUCAACAAUUUUCUUUCCCUACUUGACUCAUUUUAACUACCCUUUUCAUUGUCCUUUUUAUAUUUUAACUUUUUAGCAAAUUUUCAACUUAAAUGGAAUUAAAUGUCUAAAAAAAUAUUUAAAUCAUUAAUUUUCGUAUGAGUUAGGAGUUCUCCGUUAUUUUAUUAUUAUUAUUAUUAUUUUUGAGAACGAAGGAGUUUUCCAUUAUCUUGCACAUUUUAGGAAUGCUUUUGAUUCAUCUUAGUUAAGAUAUUCACUGAACUAAAUCUAACUGGAAUCUUUGGGACCAGACGUUUGUACUAAAGAAAAAUAAAGGGAUGUACAUGUGCCUCAAGGCAUGUGCAGCAUCCUAGAUAAGUUCUAUACCCAUUGGUCCUAAGUCAUUUUCCCUAUCAACUGCUCUUCAACCUCCAAUGUUUUGGCAUUGGUCGCCUGCUCUGACACAUCAUCAAUGACUCUAACCCACCAACAUAUAUUAUUAUUAUUAUUAUUUCAAAUCUCUUGCAUAAUUAUUGAUAGGCUGGUCUGGGUGAUCGGGCGGUGACCGGAAUGCAGAUUACAGAUGGCCGGAUGCUGAAGCCCUGAAGGUCUUCCAGAUUAGAAUAAGAAGAAUAAAAUAUUACCCAUUUCAACAAGGAAAUUGCAUCAGCAAAAGCUUGCUCUGCCGUGUGCUGCGCGAAGCAAAAGUUUAACAAGACCAGACACAGAGAGAGUCGUCUAUCAAGAACCUUCAUAAAACGACAUGCUUACAUUGGAUUCACAUACUGUGGCAGCUUAAAUUUUCAAUUUCCAAACCCCACCAAUUAUAUAUUAUAAUUGUUAUUUAUUUGUUGAAAUUUUUAUUUUUAUUUUUAUUUUAUUUUCCAGUGCACCCACCCACCACUGUGUUUUUUUAUUUAUUUAUCCCUCCACUCUUGUUUUGUGUUGUGUCCCCAUGUAAAAAAGAGUAAAAACCCCACAGCAUAUCCUCCUUUUUAUUCAGUUUUUUCCUUCUUCUUCUGCUUCUUCGUCAACCAUGUCCUCUAUACUCUGCUCACAAGGAGUGGUUCUGGCCACUGCCAUGGCUGUUUCUGGCACCGUAAUUCUCCUCGCUCUUCGCCUUCAAAAAUCUCACCCUGCCUCCCUCUUAUCUUCGCAGCAAGUUCUACGCUCCUGUAUCUCCUCAGGUACACCAAACAAUAAAUCUCUUUGCAUAUCUACAUAUACAUACAUAAUUGUUCUUGAAAUUUGGUUUUCGUUUUAUUUAUGUAUUUAAUUUUUUGGUGGGAAAUGAAGACGGGAGCAAAAAGAAGAAGAAGAAGAGGGUGCACUUUGCAGAGGAUGUGGUGGAUCCAAAAGGAAACGGAGAAGAUUUCAGACGGCAGCGUGGUGCCAUUGUUCUCAGCAAGAAUUCAUCGUCUCCACCAAAGUUGAAGAAGAUAGGUGGUGCCGGAGGUGGUGGCAGCGGUGCUGCUAAAGGCAAAGGAAUGCCUGCAAAUAGAUUGGCUCUCUACAAUGGGAUCCUGAGGGAUCGUGUGGUUCACCGAUUGGCCUAUUCUUGUUAACCGAUUAGCUUUGUGUAUAAUAUUUUCGUGUAAAUAAUCUUCUCUUUUUUUUUUUUAAUUACUAAUUUGGAAGGAGGAAAUGGCCCUCAGUCCUUGAAGACUGUGCCUGUGGCUUUUUCUGAUCAUCAACUAAUUGGUGAUGGCUGUAAAUCCUGUUGGUAUUAGCAGAGGAUGUUGUCCGUAAUUUUUUAGGGUAAUCUAAUAGAAAUUGUUCAUAAGUUACAUCAAUAUCAAUAAUUCUGACUUUUUUAUGACUUUUUUCUCUGAUAUUUUUGUCUUAAUAUCACUUAUCUAAAUCAAGAAAUCUGUAGAAUUCAGCACUAAUCAAUAAUUUAACUGUCCAUCACUAACUAUACUCCAAAUUUGGAAGAAAAUUAAUCGAGUAUUUACCAUCAAACCAAUAAAAAUUUUUCAUAAAUCCCAUAAAAAUAAAGAUAAGUUUAUUUUUAUUUUAUAUUAUUUUAAAAAAUAUAAUUUCUUUAUACUAUUCAAUGUAUUUCGUACUCGUAACUCAAAUUUAAUAUUUUUUUAUAUUAUUUCAUUUCACCAGUUUAGUAAAAAAUAUAAUUAAUAUAACUAUGGAUAAGUAACCGUGAAUCAGCAAUAGCACCUACCUCUUUUUUCCUUUAUUUGAUUUUAAUACUAUCUUAUUACCUUUUUCAAUAAUACAUAUGCUAUUUUUAUGAAGUUUUUUAAUUUUUAUUUUUCUUCCUCUAUCUAAAUUUAAUUUCCCUGUGUUACUAUUUUCUUUUUCUUUGUGGAUUUUAUUUUUCAUAUUUUCAAUGAGAAGGUGUUUGUUGGAUUUAUAUUUUUAUUGAUCAAACAUAAAAUUUCUUUCACAUAAUAAAAUGCAAAUUUAUUAAUAGUGAGUUAUUAUUUUAAUUUUUUAUUAAAGUAAAUUUUUUUUAGGGAAAGCAGGUAGAUUUAUUGUUUUUAUCAAUAUUAAGGAGUAAGUUAAUGAUAAAAUAUCAAGGUACAUGAAUUUAAAUUUGUCUAUUUUAAUUAAAAUAUGCUGAAUUUAUAUUUUAUUAUAAAUAAAGCUAAAUGUUUGAACGUGUAUGAUGGUAAUUUCGUUUUAAUUGAAAAUUAAAAUUAAAAAAAUAAAAUUUAAAAUAUUUUAAAUUUAUUUAUAUAUAUUUAUUAUCAAAUUAAAUCUGGUAAGACAUAUAUUGUAUUGUAUGUAUGAAGUUGCAAGAACCUCAAGGAACAAAGAUGCCCCUAAGGGAGUUGGUUUAAGUGACCUUUGAGAGGCAUGAAGCAGCCUAAUGUAGACUUGAGUCUCAAUUCCUACAUAUUAUAAACAAAGGCAUGUGCAAGGAUGCUUCCUUUGUCAGUCUCAGUAGCCCAUACAUCCACACGCUUUCACAGGUUUUUUUAAUCAGAAAAAAAAAAAAAAAAAAACAAAAAAGCUCGAACUCGUCUUCCUUCCUUCAGAAUUUGACAACCACAUGAUCAUCCAGUGGGAUUUUUUUUCUCUCUGUAAUUAAUUGCUGGAUUAAUUUAACCAUGGUUGAUUAAGGCCCUCAAAUUUUCAUGAUUUUAUCUAUUGAGAAUCAUAACAAAUUAAAAAAAAUUUUAAAAAAGUAAUUUUUUAAUAAUAAAAAAAAGUAAAGAAGGGCUGAGGCAGAGUGUGAUGAGCAAUAAUUGGAGAGAAGAAAACGCAUAGAAGAGAGGAUGGGCAACUGAAAAUUCUUGGUUUUGGAGCAGAAGAAGAAUCUUUCAUAUCUAUCAGAUAUCAGCAACUGUGUCUUUUAAUUUUAAAUCUUUUAUCUGCUUUCUGCCUUUAAAAAAAUGCCAUUUAUUUUUCUUUUGUAAUAUUUUUAUUUUAUAAAAAUAAAUUUAUAGUUUUUUAUAUUAAUUAAAAAUAGUUGCCUUUUUUCCCAAAAAUAAAAAUAAAAUCUGAGUUCUGGAGUGGGCAAGCUCAGGAAUGUUGAAAAUUGAUUAGCCAGAUUUUGACCAGUUUUUAUUUUAAUUAUUUUAGUUUAAUUUUAAUUUUUAUCAGAAAAAUCAAUAAAAUUGAACUCUAUUGAGUCAAUUGCAAAAUUAUUGCUCGACAAAGCUUUCUCAUAGUAUUAUUAAUUAUAAAGUGUUAUCCUUUUUCCCAAAAGCAAGCAUAAAGAUGCCAGUUUUUCAUUGGUUCGGUUGUCAAUUAUGUUAGAUUGAUUAUGUAAUCCACGUUCUUAAUCACCAUAAGAUACUAGUAAUGACUUCAUUAUAAUUUUUUAAUCCUUUCAGUUUCUUAAAUGGUAAUUAAAAAUAAGUGAUAGAAGAUAAGGAUUAGUGCUAAUCUUUUUAAUUAAGACUAAUCAAAUGCUUAAUGACGUUUGAUUGAUUUGCCAUAGGUUAAAUGUUGGAACAUCCCUAACAUGAAUCUUUCUUAUAUAAUUAAGGAUUAGAUUGCAAAAGUUGCACUCCUUUCUUUGUAUUUGGCAUUAAAAAUAUGUAUUUUUUAUUUUAAAUUAAAAAUUUUAUAGAGAUUUAAUUUAAUUAAUUUUUUUAUUUAUAAAAAAUUAAUUUUUUAAUUCGAAAUUUUUAUUUAAAAAUAAUUUAAAAUUUUUAUAUAAAAUAAAUAGUUUCAGAUGAAAUCUUUUAAUACAGAAUUGUAAAAGCGUUUGAUUCAACGACGGGUGAGCAGUAUUCGGUUUAAAUCGAAAAAUUGAUUGAAUCGAAUCGAUUUGAAAAUUUAGUUUGGUUUUUUAUAUAUUUUGGUUUGGUUCGGUUUUUAAUUUCAGAAAUUUCGGUUAUUUCGGUUCGGUUUGAUUUUGAUUAGAAAAAACCGAAAAAAUCAAACCGAACCGAUUAGUGAUAAUAAUAUAUUUUUUCAAUAAUAUAGAGAAAUUAAAUCAUAUUAAAAUUAAAAUAUUUUAAUUAAAUUUUAAAAUAUUAAAAAUAAAGUGUAAAAAAUAAAAAAAUUAUUAAAAAUCGAAACCGAUCAAACCGAACCGAAUCGAACCGAAUCAGACCGGUUCGGUUCGGUUCGGUUUCUGACCAAAAUCGGUUCGGUUCGGUUUUCAUAAACACUACAAUUUCGAUUUUCGGUUUAUUCGAUUCGGUUCGAUUUUAAACCGAACCGACCGAAUGCUCACCCCUAGAUUUAACUGUUGGUUAAUACUAAUAACCGAUAAAUAACAAAAUAAUUGAAUUUAAGUUUUAGUAAAAUUUUUAAAUAGUAGCUGAUAAUUUUAUAUAUUUUUUAUAAAAAAAUAAAUUGAUACAUAUUAUUAUUAUUAUUAUUCAUUUUUCAUAUAAUAAUAAUAUAUAAAAAUAAAAUAAAAUUCAUUAGCGACGAUACAAAUUCAUUAGAGAUAAGAAAGUUGGUUGGGAUUUUUUAGUUAUUUAAAAUAAAUUACCAAUCAAGCUUACGUUUAUUGUAAAUCUUCUUUAACCUUUUCUAAUAACUUUGGUAUCUUAGUUGUUAUCCCUUAUGCAUGGCUUGCGUAUUAUGUUUUUUUUCUUUUAAUUUUCACCUAACUUAUUAAUAUAAAAUUUAUAAAUAUAUUUAUUAGUAUAACAGUUUUCUGAUUUAAUAAUAAAUUUUUGUUUCUCGCUACUAAUUUAAUAUUUAUAAUUUUAUAACCGAUUAACAAUAAUAUUUUUUAAAUAAAAAUCGAGAAUUGAAAAAAUAAAAUUUGAGAUCUCACAGACUUAUUCAUAUGUAUUUAUUAUCGGAUUAAACAUAUGAGUACUGAUUAAUAAUGAUUUAUAAUUUAUUAUUAAUUUAAUUAAAAUUAAAAAAUUAUUUAAAAAUAAACUUAUUCUGGAUUAUAAUUUUGUUACUAUUUUGUUUGUUGAUAAGUACAAAAUGUUUUUAUUUUUUCCUAAAGAUAUAUACCUUUAUAAAUUUUUAUAUAAUAAGUAGAAAUUAAAAUUAAAAAUUAUAUUUAAGUAAAUUGUGAUUAUUAAACUACUUUUAUAGAGACUCUCUAUGUAUGCAGAUAUGAAAAUAUUACUCUCUUUUAUAAUCAUUAUCCUAUCCUAUUGUAUCAAAAUUAUUAUCUAUUUUUUUUAUAUUAUAAUACUAGGUAAAUUGAUUAUUAUAAUUUUAUUUUAUUUUAUUUUUAAAAAAUCUUUCAAAAUCUUCUUUAAUAUUUAAUUUAAAAUAGUAUAAUUAAAAAAUUGGUUAAAAAAAUUAUAUUUUUUAAUAUAUAUAAAAAAAAAAUUAUGAGAUAGCAUAUGAUUUUGCUGUUUUAUUAGUUGGGUUAAGGUUUUUGAAAUGGAAAUAUAAAAUUUAGAGAAUAAGAAAUCUCUCAAAUUUAUUAGGAUAUACUUAUUAUUAGUAAGUCUGGGAGUGCAAUUUAUACUUAUAUUAUUUAUCCUUAUGACCAUAUUAUAAUGCAUUUUCAUAAAAAAUAAAAUUGAAUUUAAUUUAAUUUAAUUUAAAUAAAUAUAUAUUUUAAUAAAUAAAUAAUUUAAUAUUUUUAUUUGUUAAAUGAAAUUGAGAAUUUUUUUUUAUAAAUAAUGUAAGAUAUAUAUAAUUAUAGAAAAGAUAUGCUUCAAUUUAACUUUAUUUAUUUAUCACUUAAUUAUUACCAUUUCAUUCAAUUCAAUUUAAAAUUAAAUUAAUCCAUUUAAUCUAUUAAUAUUAUUGUUUUAGAACAUAUCUUAUCGUUAAUUUGUACACAUAAGGGAUAUAUUUAUAAAAGUAUUUUUUUUAGAAUCAAUUAAAAAAAUACUUUUAGUAAAUUAUAAACACAUUAUUUUAGCUUUUUAACUAAUAAAAAAUAUAUAUUCAAAAUUUUAUUUUUUUAUAAUUAAUUUAAUUGAAUUUAAACUCGUUAACUCGCAAAUCGAAAUCAAUUUUAUACUAAAAAAAAUUUUAAAUUUCACAGUUAUUCUUUUAACAACAGAAUGGUGUUUUAUUCACUUCAUUUAUUUAUGUCUAAUUUAAUUAUAUUUACAAGAGUGGAUUAUUAUUUAUCCAUUUAGAUUCACUUAUAAUUUCUAUUAGAUUUUAUUAUUUAAAUAUCAAAUUAAUAAGUAUUUUUAAUACUUGAUUUCAUAAAUAAUUUGUUAUUAUUAUUUUUAUUAAUCAACCAUUAAAAAUUGACGAAGCUAACUUUUGUUUAAAAAAAUAAUUUAAAAAAUUCAAAACAAUUAUUAUUUUUUGCAUUUUACGUGAAUUUUAAAUUAUUUUUACAACCAAUUAAUGAAAAAGUCGUGAGAGGAUUAUUGAUUGAUUAUUCGCUUUUAAAAUAUAUAUUCACCCAAAAGAAAUCAUUAAUACAGAAAAUGUUUGAAACAUGUCACGCUUUAACCGGUUGAGUACUGUGUCUUAUCCUAGGCUGAGUAGCUUCCAACCAUAACCUCCCUAUAUAAUCCCUAAGGCCAAAACCCUACGCUUUCUCUCCCUCUCCUCUGCGAAUGAUCUCGAGCACUCUCAUUUCUCACUCUCAAUCCUUCACUGUCGAUUUGAAGACGCUUCUACAGAUCAGCACCUGACGCCACAACGAUUCUCGGCCCAAAUUUGGUUAGUUAACUCUCAUUUUCUCCCCGGUCUAUUUCGUGAUGAUCUGCGUUGUACUUCAGUUCUAAUUUUAGUUUUAGUUGGCUGAUUUUAUCAUUAUUAUUACUAUUAUUUUUUAAUUUCAGUUCAAAAUUUUCUAGUGUUGGAAAACUAGAUAUCUCAGAAUUCUAUACUUGCUGUUCUUGGUCCGUUCUCAAUUAAAUCAGUUAAUUCUCGAGUGCAGAGUUGAAUGUAUUGCUAAUUACAUUUGUAUUCAGAAUUUCUUUGUUAAUAGAUUUAAGUUGUUCUUAUCAUCCCUAAGUCAUUGGCAAAAAAUUCGUAAACCAUUUAAAAGCAUCAGUUUACAUCAUUGACUCCUGGAAACUUUUUUAAACUGACUGUUGAAACUGGGACUUGGUGGGAUAUGCCCUCUAAUUGAUGAGAGAAGAUUCUAAACCCUUUUCUGGGAUUUCAAUGGUAGCUUGUUACAUGGAGAGCUAUCAGCUGUCUACGUAUAGUGUAGAAAAGAGGUGAUUGCAUCACAAUAUAUUUCUUUCGGAUUCUUACUUUUGCCCUUGCAGAAGUUCUGUUAUAAUCAUUCUUAUUCAAUUAUGUGAGUUUGCAUUUAAUGAAUUUUUUUUCUCCUUCAGUAGCCAUGAAGGUGCGAUCAUCUGUGAAGAAGAUGUGCGAGUUCUGUCAGAUUAUCAAACGCCGGGGUCGUGUAUAUGUCAUUUGUAGUUCCAAUCCUAAGCACAAGCAACGGCAAGGCAUUUCAACAUUUGCAUAUGAAGGAUCCGUGUAAGCUAUAUAACUCCUCCACCUCUCUCUCUCUCUCUCUCACACACACACACACGAAUGCUCAUAUACACUGUUUCUGUUUGCCGUCAUCUUUAGUUGCAUUUUGGUUUGUGCCAUGGACUAAAAAGUAUCUUCAGAAGUGGGUAUUGUUCGAGUUUAAAGUAUUAUACAGAUUUCCUGCAAGGGAAAAAAAAAGAAGAGAGAGGGAGAGAGUGAGAGAUGAACACUGGUUUUUCGUUUUCCUGUAAAAGUGAAGUCAGAAUUAAUGGCUAAAUAUUUUUCUCACUAGGUGAUUGGCAGAUUUUGGACAAUCAGUCCCGUUGAUUCUUUUCUACAAACUCAACAAGUGGUUGUUGAAGAAGAACAAAACAGCCAUAAAUAAAUUAUC